GUUCGGCUAGCUCAGUCGGUAGAGCAUGAGACUCUUAAUAUCAGGGUCAUGGGCUCAUGCCUCAUGUUUGGUG